GAUGAACGCUGGCGGCGUGCCUAAUACAUGCAAGUCGAGCGAACGGACGAGAAGCUUGCUUCUCUGAUGUUAGCGGCGGACGGGUGAGUAACACGUGGAUAACCUACCUAUAAGACUGGGAUAACUUCGGGAAACCGGAGCUAAUACCGGAUGAUAUUUUGAGCCGCAUGGUUCAAAAGUGAAAGACGGUCUUGCUGUCACUUAUAGAUGGAUCCGCGCUGCAUUAGCUAGUUGGUAAGGUAACGGCUUACCAAGGCAACGAUGCAUAGCCGACCUGAGAGGGUGAUCGGCUACACUGGAACUGAGACACGGUCCAGACUCCUACGGGAGGCAGCAGUAGGGAAUCUUCCGCAAUGGGCGAAAGCCUGACGGAGCAACGCCGCGUGAGUGAUGAAGGUCUUCGGAUCGUAAAACUCUGUUAUUAGGGAAGAACAUAUGUGUAAGUAACUGUGCACAUCUUGACGGUACCUAAUCAGAAAGCCACGGCUAACUACGUG
rnacentral:rRNA from 1 species